rnacentral:rRNA from 1 species
UACGAAGGGUGCGAGCGUUGUUCGGAAUUACUGGGCGUAAAGCGCGCGUAGGCGGAUUUGUAAGUCGGAUGUGAAAUCCCCAGGCUUAACCUGGGAAUUGCAUCCGAAACUGCAAACCUUGAAUGCUUGAGAGGAUGACGGAAUUCCUGGUGUAGAAGUGAAAUUCGUAGAUAUCAGGAGGAACACCGGAGGCGAAGGCGGUUGUCUGGCGAGGCAUUGACGCUGAGGCGCGAAAGCGUGGGUAGCAAACAGG